rnacentral:rRNA from 1 species
AACGUACGCUGGCGGCACGCCUAACACAUGCAAGUCGAACGCAGUAGCAAUACUGAGUGGCGAACGGGUGAGUAUAAUGUAGGUAUCUGCCUUUUGGUUUGGAAUAACACGAGGAAACUUGUGCUAAUACCGGAUAAGCCUUUACAGGGAAAGUUUUAACGCCAAAAGAUGAGCCUGCACUUGAUUAGCUAGUUGGUAAGGUAAUGGCUUACCAAGGCUACGAUCAAUAGCUGAUCUGAGAGGAUGAUCAGCCACAUUGGGACUGAGACACGGCCCAAACUCCUACGGGAGGCAGCAGUGGGGAAUCUUGCACAAUGGGGGAAACCCUGAUGCAGCGAUGCCGCGUGAGUGAAGAAGGCCUUUGGGUUGUAAAGCUCUUUCGUCGGGGAAGAAAAUGACUGUACCCGAAUAAGAAGGUCCGGCUAACUUCGUGCCAGCAGCCGCGGUAAUACGAAGGGACCUAGCGUAGUUCGGAAUUACUGGGCUUAAAGAGCUCGUAGGUGGUUAGAAAAG